GCGGGGAUGGCGGAACUGGAAUACGCAGUAGUCUUGAAAACUACAAAUCCUGGCGGAUUAUUUACGGGUUCGAAUCCCGUUCCCCGCA
rnacentral:tRNA from 1 species